AUGCCUUACACAUGCAAGUCGAACGGCAGCACGGGGGCAACCUGGUGGCGAGUGGCGAACGGGUGAGUAAUACAUCGGAACGUGCCCAAUCGUGGGGGAUAACGUAGCGAAAGUUACGCUAAUACCGCAUACGAUCUACGGAUGAAAGCGGGGGAUCGCAAGACCUCGCGCGAAUGGAGCGGCCGAUGUCAGAUUAGGUAGUUGGUGGGGUAAAGGCUCACCAAGCCAACGAUCUGUAGCUGGUCUGAGAGGACGACCAGCCACACUGGGACUGAGACACGGCCCAGACUCCUACGGGAGGCAGCAGUAGGGAAUAUUGCACAAUGGAGGAAACUCUGAUGCAGCGACGCCGCGUGAGUGACGAAGGCCUUCGGGUUGUAAAGCUCUGUUCUCAGGGAAAAGAAAGUGAUUGUACCUGAGGAGAAAGGACCGGCUAACUUCGUG
rnacentral:rRNA from 1 species